AUGAUCAUCAGGCAAUGUGAACCCUCUUCCACGUGCCUUUGCUGAGCACCACGCGCUGGAUUUCAGCUCCCAUCGUGUGCCAGGGCACACAGCUAAAUGACCUUCCCCAGUUACUUUUCAUCUAAAUGAAGCCACGUGACUAGUUCCUGCCGCAAGAGCGGGAGGUUUGUGGAGGGCAAUGUGCCACCUUCAGGCUGAAGCGUUUGAACCUGGGUGUGCUUCCACAUGGACUGUCCCUUCCCUUUGCAAGGUGACCGUGGAGGGGACACCAAAGAUGGAAACAGCCUGGACCCCAAAUCGCCACAUAGAAGCCAUCUGCCAAAUACUUGACUGAACUGGGACAGCAAUUCUGCAAAAGAGCCUCAGUGCAAUUCUAAAACGAUCGCAGGGAGAACAGGCACAACGCAGACCGCCUGACUUUGACUGGUUCCA